GUGGAAGCGUCUGGAAAGGCGUGCGAUACAGGGUGACAGCCCCGUACACAAAAAUGCACAUGCUGUGAGCUCGAUGAGUAGGGCGGGACACGUGGUAUCCUGUCUGAAUAUGGGGGGACCAUCCUCCAAGGCUAAAUACUCCUGACUGACCGAUAGUGAACCAGUACCGUGAGGGAAAGGCGAAAAGAACCCCGGCGAGGGGAGUGAAAAAGAACCUGAAACCGUGUACGUACAAGCAGUGGGAGCCCUGAUUUAUCAGGGUGACUGCGUACCUUUUGUAUAAUGGGUCAGCGACUUAUAUUCUGUAGCAAGGUUAACCGAAUAGGGGAGCCGGAGGGAAACCGAGUCUUAACUGGGCGUUAAGUUGCAGGGUAUAGACCCGAAACCCGGUGAUCUAGCCAUGGGCAGGUUGAAGGUUGGGUAACACUAACUGGAGGACCGAACCGACUAAUGUUGAAAAAUUAGCGGAUGACUUGUGGCUGGGGGUGAAAGGCCAAUCAAACCGGGAGAUAGCUGGUUCUCCCCGAAAGCUAUUUAGGUAGCGCCUCGUGAAUUCAUCUCCGGGGGUAGAGCACUGUUUCGGCAAGGGGGUCAUCCCGACUUACCAACCCGAUGCAAACUGCGAAUACCGGAGAAUGUUAUCACGGGAGACACACGGCGGGUGCUAACGUCCGUCGUGAAGAGGGAAACAACCCAGACCGCCAGCUAAGGUCCCAAAGUCAUGGUUAAGUGGGAAACGAUGUGGGAAGGCCCAGACAGCCAGGAUGUUGGCUUAGAAGCAGCCAUCAUUUAAAGAAAGCGUAAUAGCUCACUGGUCGAGUCGGCCUGCGCGGAAGAUGUAACGGGGCUAAACCAUGCACCGAAGCUGCGGCAGCGACACUGUGUGUUGUUGGGUAGGGGAGCGUUCUGUAAGCCUGUGAAGGUGUGCUGUGAGGCAUGCUGGAGGUAUCAGAAGUGCGAAUGCUGACAUAAGUAACGAUAAAGCGGGUGAAAAGCCCGCUCGCCGGAAGACCAAGGGUUCCUGUCCAACGUUAAUCGGGGCAGGGUGAGUCGACCCCUAAGGCGAGGCCGAAAGGCGUAGUCGAUGGGAAACAGGUUAAUAUUCCUGUACUUGGUGUUACUGCGAAGGGGGGACGGAGAAGGCUAUGUUGGCCGGGCGACGGUUGUCCCGGUUUAAGCGUGUAGGCUGGUUUUCCAGGCAAAUCCGGAGAAUCAAGGCUGAGGCGUGAUGACGAGGCACUACGGUGCUGAAGCAACAAAUGCCCUGCUUCCAGGAAAAGCCUCUAAGCAUCAGGUAACAUCAAAUCGUACCCCAAACCGACACAGGUGGUCAGGUAGAGAAUACCAAGGCGCUUGAGAGAACUCGGGUGAAGGAACUAGGCAAAAUGGUGCCGUAACUUCGGGAGAAGGCACGCUGAUGGUAGGUGAAGCGACUUGCUCGUGGAGCUGAAAUCAGUCGAAGAUACCAGCUGGCUGCAACUGUUUAUUAAAAACACAGCACUGUGCAAACACGAAAGUGGACGUAUACGGUGUGACGCCUGCCCGGUGCCGGAAGGUUAAUUGAUGGGGUCAGCGCAAGCGAAGCUCUUGAUCGAAGCCCCGGUAAACGGCGGCCGUAACUAUAACGGUCCUAAGGUAGCGAAAUUCCUUGUCGGGUAAGUUCCGACCUGCACGAAUGGCGUAAUGAUGGCCAGGCUGUCUCCACCCGAGACUCAGUGAAAUUGAACUCGCUGUGAAGAUGCAGUGUACCCGCGGCAAGACGGAAAGACCCCGUGAACCUUUACUAUAGCUUGACACUGAACACUGGUCCUUGAUGUGUAGGAUAGGUGGGAGGCUUUGAAGUGUGGACGCCAGUCUGCAUGGAGCCGUCCUUGAAAUACCACCCUUUAAUGGCUGGUGUUCUAACGUGGGCCCGUAAUCCGGGUUGCGGACAGUGUCUGGUGGGUAGUUUGACUGGGGCGGUCUCCUCCUAAAGAGUAACGGAGGAGCACGAAGGUUGGCUAAUCCUGGUCGGACAUCAGGAGGUUAGUGCAAUGGCAUAAGCCAGCUUGACUGCGAGCGUGACGGCGCGAGCAGGUGCGAAAGCAGGUCAUAGUGAUCCGGUGGUUCUGAAUGGAAGGGCCAUCGCUCAACGGAUAAAAGGUACUCCGGGGAUAACAGGCUGAUACCGCCCAAGAGUUCAUAUCGACGGCGGUGUUUGGCACCUCGAUGUCGGCUCAUCACAUCCUGGGGCUGAAGUAGGUCCCAAGGGUAUGGCUGUUCGCCAUUUAAAGUGGUACGCGAGCUGGGUUUAGAACGUCGUGAGACAGUUCGGUCCCUAUCUGCCGUGGGCGCUGGAGAACUGAGGGGGGCUGCUCCUAGUACGAGAGGACCGGAGUGGACGCAUCACUGGUGUUCGGGUUGUCAUGCCAAUGGCACUGCCCGGUAGCUAAAUGCGGAAGAGAUAAGUGCUGAAAGCAUCUAAGCACGAAACUUGCCCCGAGAUGAGUUCUCCCUGAGACUUAGAGUCUCCUGAAGGAACGUUGAAGACGACGACGUUGAUAGGCCGGGUGUGUAAGCGCAGCGAUGCGUUGAGCUAACCGGUACUAAUGAACCGUGAG
rnacentral:rRNA from 1 species